rnacentral:lncRNA from 1 species
AAAUCCCAACGAUGAGGUACGUUUCGUAUAUGCAUUGGAGUAGUUGAUUCCUUUUAAAUAUUAUUCGCUCAGUCAAUUAAUGAGCUUUCGGCCUUUGGUUAAGUUGAUCCCUUAUGUGUGAAUAUAAGGGUUGGAAAUGUGAAGUAGGACUGAUUUUUGAGAAUAUGUGUAUAUGAAAUUAUCCGUUUAGUUAUAUGAAUGCUAUACUUCAGUUGUG